rnacentral:rRNA from 1 species
UUGAACGCUGGCGGCAUGCUUUACACAUGCAAGUCGAACGGCAGCGGGGGCUUCGGCCUGCCGGCGAGUGGCGAACGGGUGAGUAAUGCAUCGGAACGUACCCAGUCGUGGGGGAUAACUACGCGAAAGCGUAGCUAAUACCGCAUACGUCCUGAGGGAGAAAGCGGGGGAUCGCAAGACCUCGCGCGAUUGGAGCGGCCGAUAUCGGAUUAGCUAGUUGGUGAGGUAAAGGCUCACCAAGGCGACGAUCCGUAGCGGGUCUGAGAGGACGACCCGCCACACUGGAACUGAGACACGGUCCAGACUCCUACGGGAGGCAGCAGUGGGGAAUUUUGGACAAUGGGGGAAACCCUGAUCCAGCCAUUCCGCGUGAGUGAAGAAGGCCUUCGGGUUGUAAAGCUCUUUCAGCAGGAACGAAACGGUCGGCUUUAAUAAAGUCGGCUAAUGACGGUACCUGCAGAAGAAGCACCGGCUAACUACGU